GUGAAUCAUCGAAUCUUUGAACGCACAUUGCACCUCUCGCAGGGGAGGUAUGCCUGUCUGAGCGUCAUUGAAAUCAAUAAACCCCUUCUGGGUUUGUGCUGGGCUCCGCAUGAGGGUGCGUUGCCUCGAAACCAUGGUCUAACCUGUGGACGAGCUCCUUUUGGACCUGCCACAGUGAGGGCUCCAUCUCUGAAUUUGACCUCAGAUCAGGUAGGAACACCGCCUGAACUUAAGCAUAUCAAUAAGCGGAGGA
rnacentral:misc_RNA from 1 species